UCUUAUCAAGAGAGGUGGAGGGAUAGGCCCUAUGAAACCUCGGCAACCUUCAGAUUUCAUUUAUCUGAAAAGGUGCCAAUUCCAACUUUAGACUUUAUUAAUCUAGAGAAAGAUGAGA
rnacentral:ncRNA from 1 species